UCUGAACAAUGCAACUGUUAAUUGCAGAUUUGAAGUAAUAAUCUGAAUCUGGGUAUCUAUCAUCUCCUUUAUUAUUACUUAUUCCAUGAAAGUUACUAAAUAGUAAUUUCUUCUAUAUGUAAAUUUGUACUUCUUUCACCAAAAUAAACAUUGUAGUUCUCUGUUUCAGAUUGAAUUGUUUUUAAUUGAAAAUUUAGGUGCAUCUUGCUUAUGCUGCAAUGUGAAGGCUUGAUCAAUAAAAAUGAAAAUAAAUAUUGGCAAAAUAGAAAGAAAAAAAUGGGAUUAAAAAACAGAGUAAUUUAGUUCCACUAAUAGGGAUGGAAGAGAAUAGAACAACUUAUCUGUUCUAUUCAACCCUAUUCUGUCUGUGUGCUAAACGCUAUCUUAAUAGUUAUACUGAAUAAUGGGUUGAUAUGGUACAGUAACAGCUUAUUUAAAGGAUGUUCUCUUUUUGGAUUUCAUCUUUUGAUGACAUUUUUUCUGCUUUUAAAUCUAAAUUGGUGCAUUUGUUUAUAGAUGACUCACUGAUGGAGUAAUGGUAUAAAGGGCAACUCGAUAUACAAGGUUUGCACCUACCAAGUUGUUUUCCGUAUUUGAACCCAUUACCUACAUGUGACAAGCCAAGUCACCUACCAUUAUGCCGAGACUCCCCCUCGCGAUGGUAUAUAUUCAAACAUUUUCCUCGUCAAAUUCAUAUUGACUUCUAUGGUUAUGGACCCAACAAUUAUGAGAAUAGCGUGAUUAUUCUAGCUAACAUUUGUUUUAAGUGUAGAUAUCGUCACGAUUUAGGCGUGUAGAAUACGCUCAGAACCAACUGUAAGAUGGGAAAAAAUAUCAUGAUGCAUUGGUGGACCAGAGAAAAUUCCAGUCUCAGCUAACUGAAUAGGUUUCAAAUGGAAUUUUCUUGCUUUGGAUUAUGCAUUCACGUGUAUAGUUCUUCAGUUGAACCCCUGUAGUGAUGGGGAGAACAAAAUAAAGAUUGGGAAAUAAAAUGAAUAACUAGAUUUUGCUUCAUUGCGAGUACAACAACAACCA
rnacentral:lncRNA from 1 species